AUGGCCAUCUCACUCAGCUUGGAGCUCCUCUCCCUGUCCCAACAAUGGCAGGUCCUCCUCCUCCUCGUGGCACUCGCCUCCCUCGUGCUCUUCACGAGAAGACUGAGCAACAAAGGGCUCAGACUACCGCCCGGCCCAGCCCAGGCUCCGAUCCUGGGGAACCUGCACCAGCUAGGCUUGCUACCACACCAGAGCCUACGGGAUCUGGCAAGGCAGCAUGGGCCGGUGAUGCAGCUGCAGCUCGGCACCGUGCCAACGGUGGUGGUGUCGUCAGCUGAGGCGGCGCGGGAGGUGAUGAAAACGCACGAUGAGGACUGCUGCACCCGGCCUGUGUCCCCAGGGAUGAAGCGGCUGUCCUACGGCCUCAACAAUGUCGGGUUCGCCCCGUACGGUCCCUACUGGAGCAUGAUGCGCAAGUUCCUUCUGGUCGAACUCUUCGGCGUGCGCCAUGUCAAGGCCGCAUGGCACGCACGCCAGUAUCAGGUGGAGAAACUAAUGAGCACCUUGAGCGGCUUGGCCGGAGAGCCGGUAGCACUGAAGGAGCACAUCUUCAGGCUGGCCGACGGCAUCAUCGGCAUGCUGGGGUUUGGCGAUAUGUACAACAGCGACAAGUUCCCACACCACAAGAACUUGGAGCACGUGCUCGAGGAGGCCACACACGCGCAGGCCAGCUUUUCUGCCGAGAGGACUACUUCCCCAACAUCAUCGGCCGCCUAG
rnacentral:rRNA from 1 species